ACGCUCGACACCUACUGGAGGCAGCAGUGGGGAAUAUUGCACAAUGGGGGAAACCCUGAUGCAGCGACGCCGCGUGGAGGAAGAAGGUCUUCGGAUUGUAAACUCCUGUUGUUGGGGAAAAAGAGGAUGGUACCCAACAAGGAAGUGACGGCUAACUACGUACCAGCAGCCGCGGUAAUCUGAGCGGGCGUGGCAAGGC
rnacentral:rRNA from 1 species